rnacentral:rRNA from 1 species
AGCGAACGCUGGCGGCAGGCCUAACACAUGCAAGUCGAACGAACCUUUCGGGGUUAGUGGCGGACGGGUGAGUAACACGUGGGAACGUGCCUUUAGGUUCGGAAUAACUCAGGGAAACUUGUGCUAUUCCGGAAUGUGCCCUUAGGGGGAAAGAUUAUUCGCAUUUAGAGCGGCCCGAGUCUGGUUAGCUAGUUGGUUGGGGUAAUGGCGCACCAAGGCGUGAGUCAGUAGCUUGUCUGCGAGGCUGGUCAGCGACCUUGGGGCGGAGACACGGCCCAAACUCCUGCGGGAAGCAGCAGUGGCUAAUCUAGCGCUAUGGGCGGUAGCAAGACGCAGCCAUGCCGCGAGAAUGAUGAAAGCCUUAGGAUAGGAAAAUUCUUUCACCGGUGACGUUAAUGACGUUACCCGGAGAAGAAGCCCCGGCUAACUUCGUG